rnacentral:rRNA from 1 species
AGCGGCGGAUGGGUGAGUAACACGUGGGGAACCUGCCCCUAAGUCUGGGAUACCAUUUGGAAACAGGUGCUAAUACCGGAUAAUAAAGCAGAUCGCAUGAUCAGCUUUUGAAAGGCGGCGUAAGCUGUCGCUAAGGGAUGGCCCCGCGGUGCAUUAGCUAGUUGGUAAGGUAACGGCUUACCAAGGCGACGAUGCAUAGCCGAGUUGAGAGGCUGAUCGGCCACAUUGGGACUGAGACACGGCCCAAACUCCUACGGGAGGCAGCAGUAGGGAAUCUUCCACAAUGGACGCAAGUCUGAUGGAGCAACGCCGCGUGAGUGAAGAAGGUUUUCGGAUCGUAAAGCUCUGUUGUUGGCGAAGAAGGAUAGAGGUAGUAACUGGCCUUUAUUUGACGGUAAUCAACCAGAAAGUCACGGCUAACUACGUGCCAGCAGCCGCGGUAAUACGUAGGUGGCAAGCGUUGUCCGGAUUUAUUGGGCGUAAAGCGAGCGCAGGCGGAAAAAUAAGUCUAAUGUGAAAGCCCUCGGCUUAACCGAGGAACUGCAUCGGGAACUGUUUUUCUUGAGUGCAGAAGAGGAGAGUGGAACUCCAUGAGUAGCGGUGGAAUGCGUAGAUAUAUGGAAGAACACCAGUGGCGAAGGCGGCUCUCUGGUCUGCAACUGACGCUGAGGCUCGAAAGCAUGGGUAGCGAACAGGAUUAGAUACCCUGGUAGUCCAUGCCGUAAACGAUGAGUGCUAAGUGU